rnacentral:rRNA from 1 species
AACGAACGCUGGCGGCAGGCUUAACACAUGCAAGUCGAGCGCCCCGCAAGUGGAGCGGCAGACGGAUGAGUAACGCGUGGGAACGUACCUUUUGGUUCGGAACAACUCCGGGAAACUGGAGCUAAUACCGGAUAAGCCCUAACGGGGUAAGAUUUAUCGCCGAAAGAUCGGCCCGCGUCUGAUUAGCUAGUUGGUGAGGUAACGGCUCAUCAAGGCGACGAUCAGUAGCUGGUCUGAGAGGAUGAGCAGCCACACUGGGACUGAGACACGGCCCAGACUCUUAGGCGAGGCAGCAGUGGGGAAUACUGGAAAACCGGCGCAAGCAUGAUCCAGCCAGGCUGGGUGAGUCAUGAUGGCGUUAGGGUAGUACAGCACUUUUGUACGGGAAGAUACUGACUGUACCGGAAGAAUAAGCCCCGGCUAACUUCGUG